UACGUAGGGGGGCGAGCGUUGUCCGGAAUCAUUGGGCGUAAAGCGCGUGUAGGCGGUUCGGUAAGUCUGCUGUGAAAGUCCAGGGCUCAACCCUGGGAUGCCGGUGGAUACUGCCGAACUAGAGUGCGGAAGAGGCGAGUGGAAUUCCCGGUGUAGCGGUGAAAUGCGCAGAUAUCGGGAGGAACACCAAUUGCGAAGGCAGCUCGCUGGGACGUUACUGACGCUGGAGACGCGAAAGCGUGGGGAGCAAACAGG
rnacentral:rRNA from 1 species